ensembl:snRNA Gm23093 predicted gene, 23093
AGGUGUGCUUGCUUCGGCAAAAAAAUUGGUACGAUACAGAGAAGAUUAACAUGAACCCUGUGCAAGGAUGACACGCAAAUUCGUGAAGCAUUCCACAUUUUU